GACGAACGCUGGCGGCGUGCCUAACACACGCAAGUCGAACGAGUCCAGGCUUUCGGGCCUGAGGCGAGUGGCGGACGGGUGAGUAACACGUGAGCAAUUUGUCCCUGUGUGGGGGACAACCCGGGGAAACUCGGGCUAAUACCGCAUGGGCAGGCACUUCACAGGAAGAGCCUGGGGAAAGAGGCCCUCUUUACAAUGGUCUCAUGCAGGGAGGAGCUCGCGGGCUAUCAGCAGUUGGUAGUGGUAACGGCCUACCAAGGCGACGACGGCUACGGGGUCUGAGAGGACGACCCCGCACAUUGGAACUGAGACACGGUCCAGACUCCUACGGGAGGCAGCAGUGGGGAAUUUUGGGCAAUGGCCGAAAGGCUGACCCAGCGACGCCGCGUGCGGGAUGACGCCU
rnacentral:rRNA from 1 species